UAUAACCCCUUACCCACACCGUAACCAUCAUCUCUUCAUUACUUUUUCCUAACCCUCGCCCUCGAACCCGUCUUCGCCAUCAAUCUCACCUUUGCCGCAUCACCAUUCCCUCACCUCACUUUCGCAACCUCACCCACACUCUCGUCUCUCAGCCUCAAUUCUCUUUCUCAUUCAUCUUCGUUCUCGCCCUUCUCUGUUUCUCUCCCAAAUCAGAGGAACCCUAACCAGCUUCCCUCGUUCCUCCUGAAGGAUCCAAGAUUACCCCACCACAUCAAUCAAUGGAGUUUCGCUGGAAGGAUUACUGCCCUAUGGUUUUUUGACAAUUGAGGAAGCUUUUUCAGGUGGAUUCUGCUGAUUACAUGUUAGCUGUAUGCGGCAAUGAGUCCUUCAUGGAGCUUUCAUCUCCUGGGAAAAGUGGAAGCUUCUUCUAUUUGACACAAAAUGAUAGAUUUAUGAUAAAGACAGUGAAAAAAUCCGAAGUCAAGGUUGUAAACAAUUGGUUGAUAGAAAAGUGAGAGUGGGACAGUUAGAGGCACAAGGUACUGAUGGUGAUGUUGGAAGAUCAAGUUCAAAGAAGGAGAAGAAUAUGGUUGGGAAUAAUGUGUGCACAUAAAGAGAGGAUCCUUCAGAGUUCAUCACUCAUAGAGCUAAAGAUUUUUUGUCUAGCAUUAAGGAUAUUGAGAAUCAGUUCAUUCGAGCUUCAGAAUCUGGUAGGGAGGUUUCAAGGCUGUUAGAGACAAAUAGAAUCAAGGUUGGAUUUUCUAAGGCAAAAGGGAAGUCGUCGACAAUGGCUUUGAUCACUGCUAUCCAGCCUGUCUGUUGCCGCAGAAAGGCGUCACCUGUUUUCCAGAAACCUGUACAAAAAAUUAUUAGUUGGAAAAGGACAACAUCUUUUCGAUCAUCCUCGUUUAGGAACCCUUUGGCUUCAAAAUCAAGGGAAGAUAUUGAAAUAUUUAAAUUUAAAGAAUUUCUAACUGGAUGAAGCUGGCACUGCAUGAUAUCUGAAUAGCCCAAUUUACAUGAUAUGAAUUAUCUUGGCCAUUUAUGGCUAUAGGAGUUACUGCAUGGAAAUCCUAUCUUGCAAUUAUGUUGUUAAUAUGUUGGCUGUCAAAUGUUAGAACUAGUGAAUCCAUCAGGAAGGACUAUGAUCGAAAAUGUCACCAGCUUAGGCAUCAAUUUGCAAAAGACCAAGGUACUCAAGUGAUUGACAAGACCAGGGCGACUGUGAAGGAUCUGCAUUCGUGAAUAAGAGUGGCUAUUUAUUAUGUCGAUUCGAUAUCUAAAAGAAUUGAAAAAAUGAGGGAUGAAGAGUUGUGUCCACAACUUCUGGAAUUAACAUAGGGAUUGGUCAGGAUGUGGAAGGCUAUGCUUGAAUGUCAUCAUGCACAAUACAUUACCACAACAUAGUCUUUGUUGACUAUAGUUUGUUGACUUUAGCGUUGGUCCUCCAACGCAACUAUUUUCCCCCAGCUGACAUGGCAACUGACAUUUUUAGCAUCAGAUGUUUCAAUUUUAUAGAUAGCGUUGGCGUAGCCGAUGCUAAUAUAGUGUCGGAUGGCGUUUGACCGACGCUAGUCAUUAGCUUCGACCAUUUUAGCUAGGUCCGACACCGACGCUAGUCAUUAGCUUCGACCGUUUUAGCUAGGUCCGACACCGACGCUAAUCUGAUGCUAAAUCACCAUUAGCGUCAGCUUUAGUCUAAUCCUGUUUUUCUAGCAGUGAGUUAAAAAAACUUAUGUAAUUUUACAUUGAAAUUAUGGAUAUUUUUUUUUACGUAAUUGCAUGUUGAUUUGUUAAUGUA